rnacentral:rRNA from 1 species
GUGGGGAAUAUUGGACAAUGGGCGAAAGCCUGAUCCAGCCAUGCCGCGUGUGUGAAGAAGGUCUUCGGAUUGUAAAGCACUUUAAGUUGGGAGGAAGGGCAGUAAGUUAAUACCUUGCUGUUUUGACGUUACCGACAGAAUAAGCACCGGCUAACUUCGUGCCAGCAGCCGCGGUAAUACGAAGGGUGCAAGCGUUAAUCGGAAUUACUGGGCGUAAAGCGCGCGUAGGUGGUUUUGUAAGGUGGAGGUGAAAUCCCCGGGCUCAACCUGGGAACUGCCUCCAAAACUGCAUGACUAGAGUACGGUAGAGGGUAGUGGAAUUUCCUGUGUAGCGGUGAAAUGCGUAGAUAUAGGAAGGAACACCAGUGGCGAAGGCGACUACCUGGACUGAUACUGACACUGAGGUGCGAAAGCGUGGGGAGCAAACAGGAUUAGAUACCCUUGUAGUCC